rnacentral:tRNA from 2 species
GCGCCUGUAGCGCAAUGGAUAGCGCAAUGGCCUCCGGAGCCAUGUGUGACAGUUCGACUCUGUCCAGGCGCA